UUGGAAACGAGGGAACAUGAGUUAAAUCACGCGGCUGUUUCACAAUAUCACGAGAUUUAAAUACCCUGGGAUUUCAGUUCGAGUGGUACUUAUUUCAUCAGAUGUCUUGGAAAAAAACGUCAGUACUGGGGUGGAGGCUGAAGAUUACCUACAGUGGUGACUGCAUCCUCCGUGCACUAACAGCGACUAUCAAAUCACACAUGAGGAAGGAGGAGUCCCAAAGGGGCGCGACCAAUCAAAGAAGACGCGGUGACCUGGAAUGGAUUUAAUUGGCUGGCUCCCUACCCGCCCCAAUGCCUUACUGACCGACAUUCUGAGGGAGAAGUGAUGCGGCUGCGCAAGACGGUUGCGAGCAAAGCGAUCGUCGUGUCGCUCCCCCCGCAAAAGUAGCACAAAGGAUGGACGUGAAUUUGUCAUAUGUACAUAGGUUUAAAGACAUCAUGUUAAGUUCCUGCCCGCUUAGCUGUCGACAGAGAGCUCUUGGGCUGAAACAUCCGCACACAUUACAUAAACUCACCACGAGUGCACUGCCUUCGUCAGCAGUGGCCUGAAUAUUAUAUAAGACGAAAGGGCGUUUCCAGAAGGAAUCAUUCACAUCUAUGUACAUUUUUGCACAGGAAUCUGUUUGUUUUUUUUUUUUUUCGCUGGUGGACCUUCCCUAAUCGCUAAAAAAAACAACGAAUCUUACAGUUAACAUUACAAGAUCUGUUUAAUAGGCUACCCGUUACAAAAUGAAAUUCGUUUUGUAACUUGCGGUUGCUUUGUUUUUAGAGCAGCAGUGGGUUUGUGUGUGGUACCCACCUUUCCUGAGCGAAAUGCUUCACAGGAAGGGAGUUCACUUGGUGAUUUUGAGCAGGAAGUUCACCUUCAACAAACACCCUUACACACUGUCAAUAUUUAACACAGCUCCAGGGGUGGAAAAUCCACUCUGCAAGAUUGAUGCGUCUUUGUUUCUAUGCCCAUAAACAAAAAAGCUAAUUUAAAGUUUAAUUUCUGCUCCUGCAUGAAUUAAAAUGUAAAUAAUUAAAAAUUAAUUAAACUGAAUUAAAAUGUUUAAUUCGGUCAUGAAAUUUAAUUUUAAAAAUUAAAAUUUGAACUGUGAGGCACCAGUUUAGCCCAAUGUGCCACCACAUCCUUAAUAGAUAAAAAAAAGCUGAUGUGUUCCAUAGCUUUGUUGUAUAACAAAAGGCCAGAGCUCUCCACAGAAUAAAGUAUAGUUACUCGAGGAAUUAAAAAAAGAA
rnacentral:lncRNA from 1 species